GGAUGGUCUUCAUCUCCUGCCCUUGUGAUCCACCUGCUUCAGCCUCCCAAAGUGCUGGGAUUACAGGCGUGAGCCACUGCGCCCGGUCGCUUUCUUCUUUAAGAGACUGAGUCUUAGUCUUACUCUGUGGCCCAGGCUGGAGUGCAGUGGCAUGGUCAUAAUUCACUGCAAGCUUCAACUCCUGGGCUCAAGUGAUCCUCCUGCCUCAGCUUCGUGAGUAGCUAGGACUACAGACAUGUGCCACUGUGCCUGGCACAGGCUUUUUAUUUUUUUUUUUUGGUAAAGACCCACUCUUGUUAUGUUGCCCAGGCUGCUCUCGGACUCCUGGCCUCAAGCUAUCCUCUCACCUCGGUCCCCCAAAGCAUUGGAAUGACAGGUGUAAGCCAGCAUACCUGGCCUAGUUAAUGCUUUUUAAAUCAUGUUCAAGGAAUCUUUGCCAAACCCCAAAUCACUAGAAUUUUCUCAUAUGUUUUCUUCUGAAGGUUUUAUAGUUUUAACUCUUUUUUUAACACACGGUCUCUCUGUCACCCAGUCUGGAGUGCAGUGGUGCAAUCAUGGCUCACUGCAACCUUGACCUCUCUGGGCUCAGGUGAUCCUCCCACCUCAGACUACUGUGCAGCUGGGACUACAGAGGCUUCCUCCUUGAAGAGUCUACAACAGACCUGAUACCAUAAUUGGGCACACAUCCUUCUGAAAUUCCUUCUAGAAAAUGAUUUAAUCUACUAAGAAAGCCCACAUUUGAAUUCAUUCAUUCCAAAAAGAGUCUCCAUCCACUUCCUAGGUUUUGAGCUCUUUUUAUGAGUCCAUGGAAGCUGCCGUGGUUUUCUCUGAGUCCAUGGCCAUAUUUUCCCUCUGGGUUCUUGUUUCUUUUAAGUCUUAUACCUCUAUUAGUAUUAAAGAUCAUCAGCUGUGCUUGAGUGUGGUUAAAUAUUCACUUUCACUUAGACUUCUGACCUAGACACUAACAGCCAACCUUGCUAGAUUCAUCUAAGUAAAGGGAAUGCAACAGGAAAAAAAGCCAAUAAUUUUUGGUUUCCAGAGUGAAAGAAAAAUACUGGGCUGGACAUCAUGAAUCACACCUGUAAUCCCAACACUUUGGGAGGCCAAGGCGGACAGAUCACUUGAGCCCAGGAGUUUGAGACUAGCUGAACAUGGCUAAACCCCAUCUCUACAAAAAACA
rnacentral:lncRNA from 10 species